AUAACAUUCGGACCAUCGGUCUACCGGGCAAUAUCACCCGUUUGAUGGAAGAUCUCUCUUUCGCUUU
rnacentral:pre_miRNA from 1 species